rnacentral:rRNA from 1 species
UACGUAGGGUGCAAGCGUUAUCCGGAAUGAUUGGGCGUAAAGCGUCCGCAGGUGGCAGUUCAAGUCUGCUGUCAAAGACCGGGGCUUAACUUCGGAAAGGCAGUGGAAACUGAACAGCUAGAGUAUGGUAGGGGCAGAGGGAAUUCCUGGUGUAGCGGUGAAAUGCGUAGAUAUCAGGAAGAACAUCGGUGGCGAAGGCGCUCUGCUGGACCAUAACUGACACUCAGGGACGAAAGCUAGGGGAGCGAAUGGG